rnacentral:lncRNA from 1 species
UUUCUAGGUGGCCUAAAAUGAUUAUUUCUAGGCUCGUUUACAAAAAUCCUAGAAUUAUUUCUAGGUGGUUUAACCUCAUUUUUAUCACCCUUUUUAAUAUCCUCACUUGUUCUAGAAUCAUUUACACUACCUUUUUCUAGUAUAUUUCUAAGUUCUACGUUCUCCAUUUUUAACGAACUACAAGAAGAACAAUUUGAACUUUGAAUAAUUAAAGAGGCUUCAUUCAUCUCC